rnacentral:rRNA from 1 species
UACGGGGGGAGCAAGCGUUGUUCGGAUUUACUGGGCGUAAAGGGCGCGUAGGCGGCAAAUUAAGUCAGCUGUGAAAUCUCCGAGCUUAACUCGGAACUGUCAGCUGAUACUGAUCUGCUAGAGUGCGGAAGGGGCAAUCGGAAUUCCCGGUGUAGCGGUGAAAUGCGUAGAUAUCAGGAGGAACACCUAUUGCGAAGGCAGCUCGCUGGGACGUAACUGACGCUGAGACGCGAAAGCGUGGGGAGCAAACAGG